UGGUGGGGUGACCCGUCUGGUUAAUUUCGAUAACGAACGAAAUCCGAGCUGUUUAGUUGGCUGUUGCUACAUUUUAGUUACAUGUCUCCUAUAUGGACUGUCAGUUUGAGGCUGAAGGAAGUUUCGGGCUAAAUCA
rnacentral:rRNA from 1 species